rnacentral:rRNA from 1 species
GAUGAACGCUGGCGGCGUGCCUAAUACAUGCAAGUAGAACGCUGAAGGAGGAGCUUGCUCUUCUGGAUGAGUUGCGAACGGGUGAGUAACGCGUAGGUAACCUGCCUGGUAGCGGGGGAUAACUAUUGGAAACGAUAGCUAAUACCGCAUGACAACAGUUAUUGCAUGAUAACUGUUUAAAAGGGGCAACUGCUCCACUACCAGAUGGACCUGCGUUGUAUUAGCUAGUUGGUGAGGUAACGGCUCACCAAGGCGACGAUACAUAGCCGACCUGAGAGGGUGAUCGGCCACACUGGGACUGAGACACGGCCCAGACUCCUCCGGGAGGCAGCAGUAGGGCAUCUUCGGCAAUGGACGGAAGUCUGACCGAGCAACGCCGCGUGAGUGAAGAAGGUUUUCGGAUCGUAAAGCUCUGUUGUAAGAGAAGAACGAGUGUGAGAGUGGAAAGUUCACACUGUGACGGUAUCUUACCAGAAAGGGACGGCUAACUACGUG